rnacentral:rRNA from 1 species
UACGUAGGGUGCAAGCGUUACUCGGAAUUACUGGGCGUAAAGCGUGCGCAGGCGGUUCUUUAAGACAGAUGUGAAAUCCCCGGGCUCAACCUGGGAACUGCAUUUGUGACUGUAGAGCUGGAGUACGGUAGAGGGGGAUGGAAUUCCGCGUGUAGCAGUGAAAUGCGUAGAUAUGCGGAGGAACACCGAUGGCGAAGGCAAUCCCCUGGACCUGUACUGACGCUCAUGCACGAAAGCGUGGGGAGCAAACAGG